UCUACCACGACAGUUAGGGUGUUCGAACAUCCAGAUCACCAGUAUUCUGUCAUGGCAACAGCAAACAGACAUCAUUUAAAAUAUUUCAGUGGCUUCCCAUUGCUCUUCUAAUAAAGAGGACAGAGGAAAGGAGCAGUGGACUCAAACAGGAAUAGAAUCACCUAAUUGGACAAUGGGGGGAAGUUAACCAAAUCAACCAACAAACAGCACCUCAAAGACCUAUGAGACCAUAACUAAAGAACAUGUGUUUCAUUGGGGUUACAGAGAAAGAGAAGAAACUGGGAGGGACUGAAAAAGUCCUCAAGAAGCAAUGGGUGAACUCUUCUGAAACUGGGAAAGAGAAAUUAAUCAUCAGAAUCAAAAAGCUAAGUACCCAAAAAGAUAAAAUCUGAGAAAUCUACCCCAAACUUAAACUUCUGAAUACUAAAGAUACUGGAAAUAGCCAGAGGGAAUGAUGCUUUCCUAAAGGAAGAACUAAUUCAAAUGACAGUGGAUUUUCACUCAGAGACCACAAGGUCAGAGCAGUUCACUAAAUACUUGCCACUUGCCUGAAAGGUCAGCCUAGAGCUCUGUUCCCUGUCAAGGUUUCCUUUAGGGAGGCAAGAGAAAUCAACAUUCCCAGAUACAGAAAAACAGACUGUUGCUAACAGACCUAUCUAAAGCAAAAGCUAAAAGUUCUGUAGACAAAAAUAAAAUGAUACCAAAGAAUCUUGAGAGAUAAGGAAGAAGCCAGGUAAGCAAAAAUAUCAGUCACCAGGCUCUUUCCCCUCACACAUUUUCUGCAUCUGUUUGAAAAUUGAAGCAAAAAGCAUACUAUUGCCUGAAAUAUGGUUGUAAGCAUAUUCAGAUGAAAUGUUUAAGACAAUUACAAUAUAGAGAGUGGGAAAGGGAUAUAAGAGAAAGUACUUUAUACUUUAUUCAAACCGGCAGUAAAAUCUCAGUAGAAAGUUUCAGGGAAGCACAUCUAAGGAAAUAUGUCUUCGAUUUCUAGCAUGACUGAGAGGAAAAAAAUCAAUGACUUGGACUUGAUGUCAUUGGGAUGGCAAGCUACAGAAUAGGAGAGAGGUUUUGCAAGUGAUAUCUCUGACAAAGUCCUAACAUCCAACAUAUCUAAGUCAGUCAGGUGUGAUGGCUCAUGUCGAUGACCCCAGUACCUGGAAGGCUAUGGGAGGAGAAUGACUGAGAACUAAAGUCCACUAUGGUCUGUGCAAAGAGCUUCAGGCCAGUACCUGCUAUAUCACCCAGGAAUUCCACUCUUGAGCAUUUAUCCCACAAAAAUGAAAACUUGUAUUCACAUGAACACAUCAAUCAAUGGGUGAGGGUUAUUGAGAUGGUUCAGGGGGCAAAGGUUUUGCAGCCAAGCCUAAUGAACUGAAUUCAAUCCUUGGGGACCACAUGAUGAAAGGAGAGAACUGAUUCCCACAAGGUGUUCUCUGACCUUUGCCACACCAACACUAUGUCAUGUGCAUGUACACAUGAGUACACCUGUACACACACACACACACACACACACACACACACACACACACACACACACGAGUAACAAAUUGGAGCUAUCCUAGUUGGCUUUCUAUUGCCAUUAUAAGCACUCUAACCAGAACUUGGGGAGGAAAGGCUUCAUUUUAUAAUGUCCAUCAUGGUGUGAAGCAGGCAGGAAGUCAAGGUGAGAACCUAGAGACAGGAACUAAAGCAGAGGCCACGUAAUAACACUCCUUACUGGCUUGUUCUCUAUGGCUUGCUCAGUCAGGAUUCUUAUACAACCCAAGACCACCUGUCUAUGGGGCUGGGCAGUAUUUUCUCAACUGAUGUUCCCUAUUCUUAGAUGUCUCUAACUUACGUCAAGUUGCCAACAACAAAACAAAAUCAACACAGCCAGGAAGAAACAAUGGGUGAACAGUUCAACUGUGGUAUAUCCACACUUUGAAAUGCUAUUUAGCAAUAAAAUAUAAGAAACCAUUGAACCAUGCAACAAAACCUGGAUUAAUCUCCAAAGAACUGUGUCUAGCAAAAAGAAAAGGAAAAAAUAAAUAAAAGCCAGCCCUCAAAGCAUACAUAUUAUGUGUUUGACUUCAACUAUGUGGAAUCCUUUGUCAUUUUGUUUGUUUUGAUUUUUCAAAGCUAGACUCAACCUAGGUACUCAUAUGUUUGCUAUUCUACAACAUUACAACAUUCUUUAAAAUACCAAACUACAAAGAGAACAAAUUAAUGCUUCCAGAAGCUGAAGACAGGGUUCUCUAAACUGACUCUAGGGAACAGUGCUUUAAAUGGGGCAAUUUCUCUAUUAUUCUGCAGGUAUGUUUACAAUUAUAACAAAAAGAAAACAAAGA